rnacentral:ncRNA from 2 species
UGAAUAAUAAAAAUAACAGGUGCUGAUGUUAGAUAAUCAAAUAGCCUUCAGUUAAAAGGGAAACAGGUGUAAGUCCUGUACGAUCUCGUCACUGUAUACAGGGAAUGCAGAAUCAUGUGUGUAUGCACAGUCACUGGGAAACUGGGAAGACGAUUCGGGUGUAUUGAUCUGUAAGUCAGGAAACCUGCCUGCUAUUGGUACGGGGA